rnacentral:rRNA from 1 species
AUUGAACGCUGGCGGCAGGCCUAACACAUGCAAGUCGAACGAGCGGCGGACGGGUGAGUAAUGUCUGGGGAUCUGCCCGAUAGAGGGGGAUAACUACUGGAAAAGGUGGCUAAUACCGCAUACUAUCGGAUGUACCCAGAUGGGAUUAGCUAGUAGGUGGGGUAAAGGCUCACCUAGGCGACGAGCUCUAGCUGGUCUGAGAGGAUGAACAGCCAAAAUGGAACUGAGACACGGUACAGACGACUACGGGAGGCAGCAGUGGGGAAGAUUGAACAAUGGGCGCAAGCCUGAUGCAGCGAGGCCGCGUGUAUGAAGGAGGCCUUAGGGUUGUAAAGUACGUUCAGCGAGGAGGCGUUACUCGCAGAAGAAGCACCGGCUAACUCCGUGCCAGCAGCCGCGGUAAUUC